rnacentral:rRNA from 1 species
GACGAACGCUGGCGGCGUGCUUAACACAUGCAAGUCGAACGGUGAAGGGACCGGUUUUUGCUGGUUCUGGAUGAGUGGCGAACGGGUGACUAACACGUGAGUAACCUGCCCCCUUCUUCUGGAUAACCGCAUGAAAGUGUGGCUAAUACGGGAUAUUCUGCGCCUGGUGCGUGGUGGGGGUGGGAAAGAUAUUGUUUCGGUGGGGGACGGGCUGGCGGCCUAUCAGGUUGUUGGUGGGGUGAUGGCCUAUCAAGGCGGUGACGGGUAGCCGGCCUGAGAGGGUGGACGGCAACACGGGGGGUGAGGCACGGCGCAGACUCCUGCGGGAGGCAGCAGUGGGGAAUGGUGCACGAUGGGCGGAAGGCUGAUGCAGCGACGCCGCGUGAGGGAUGGAGGCCGUCGGGUUGAGAACCUCUUUCGGGAGUGAAGCAGGCCUGUCUCUUUUGUGCGUGGGUUGACGGUAGCUGGAGAAGAAGCACCGGCUAACUACGUG